GAUAGAGAGUCAAAAGGACACACAAUCAUUCUGUGAUCAAAAAACACAAACUAACUUUGGAAGAAACCAACAACAAUAAUGUGUGUGUGUGUGUGUGUGUGCGUUUCAGCCCUCCCCCCCCAUGCCAGAGUCUGAUGCAAUCCUUUGCAGAGGGUUGUAAAUGUAUGCCUGCAUAAGCUGCACCUCUCGGCUGUGCCUUGCUUCUUGUUGCUGCCACCGCCGCCACUGCUUCUUGUAUUAAAACGGCGGACAUGGGCAUCUUAGGAAAAUACCACGAUUGGGAAAAUGCUUUGUAUACACCAUAAGGGUGAAGCUGAAAUGCUUACCAUUUGGACAAUUUGAAUGUAUUCGAUGAUUCAUCAAUUAUCAACAACGAUUGCACCUCGACACAUGACAAUAAAUAUGUGAAUUACAUUUGACUGUUUGACGCAACUCUGUUCUUUUGUCAAUAGAGAAAAAUCAAAAAG